rnacentral:lncRNA from 1 species
ACCAAAAAGACAAAAAAGAAAAAAAAAUACCACAAUUUAUCAAGCAUAAUUUUUUUAAGGAAAGUUCAUCAACAAAAUGUCACAAACUUUGCUAGAUUUCAGGUGAUCUAUGCUUUAGUAAAAAAUCAUAAUGAGAUGCAACGCCAACAGCUGCAUAAAAAAUGAAAAAAAAUAUUAAUAUCUCUUAAACAAAUAUAGAUAAUAAACAAAAUAAACCAUCCUGCCUGACAUAAAUGUCUCAUUCACAUCUGUUUAUCAAACGCAAAUAAGGAAGAUUGAGUUUUUACCUUGAUUUGAUAUCAAAUUGGAAUCACAUCCAUCUUUAAUGAUGACUUGAAUAGGGUUGUUUUUUUACUUAUGUUAGGCUACUGCCGACUUGAAGACGGGUGAUAUUGUUGCUAACUUGAAUGCCAACUUAAAGAGGGGUGUUGCUGAUGACUUAAAGAAAAGUAAUGCUGAUGUUGAAUUGAAGAAGGUUGAUGGUGAUGUUGACUUGAAGAAGGUUGAUACAGAGGUUGAAUUAAAGAGGGCUGAUGUUGAAUUGAAGAUAGCAUGUUUCAGUUCGCAAUUGAUUGUAAGAGUGAAGGAUGUCAUUUUGAAAUGUUGUUUUGAAUUGGCAAACUUGUAUGACAAUUCUGGUUACUAGUUUUUUUAGAG